UACGGAGGAUGCAAGCGUUAUCCGGAAUGAUUGGGCGUAAAGGGUCCGCAGGUGGCAGUGUAAGUCUGCUGUCAAAGAAUGAGGCUUAACCUCAUCAAGGCAGUGGAAACUACACAGCUAGAGUACGGUCGGGGUAGAAGGAAUUCCUGGUGUAGCGGUGAAAUGCGUAGAGAUCAGGAAGAACACCGGUGGCGAAAGCGUUCUGCUAGACCUGUACUGACACUGAGGGACGAAAGCUAGGGGAGCAAACGGG
rnacentral:rRNA from 1 species